rnacentral:tRNA from 1 species
GGUUUCAUGGUCUAACGGUUAUGACUGCGGAUUCUGAUUCCGCCAACGAGGGUUCGACUCCCUCUGAGACCU